rnacentral:rRNA from 1 species
GCCAGCAGCCGCGGUAAUACCGGCGGCUCGAGUGGUGGCCACUUUAUUGGGCUUAAAGCGUUCGUAGCUGGGUUAUUAAGUCCCUUGGGAAAUCCGACAGCUUAACUGUCGGGCGUCUAAGAGAUACUGGUAAUCUUGGAACCGGGAGAGGUGAGGGGUACUUCGGGGGUAGGAGUGAAAUCCUGUAAUCCUCGAGGGACCACCUGUGGCGAAGGCGCCUCACCAGAACGGCUUCGACAGUGAGGGACGAAAGCUGGGGGAGCAAACCGGAUUAGAUACCCGGGUAGUCCCAGCCGUAAACGAUGUGCGUUAGGUGUAUCGGUGACCACGAGUCACCGAGGUGCCGAAGGGAAACCGUGAAACGUACCGCCUGGGAAGUACGGUCGCAAGGCUGAAACUUAAAGGAAUUGGCGGGGGAGCACCACAACAGGUGGAGCCUGCGGUUUAAUUGGACUCAACGCCGGAAAUCUCACCGGAUAAGACAGCAGAAUGAUUGCCGGGCUGAAGACUCUGCAUGACUAGCUGAGGGGAGGUGCAUGG